CGUAGUUGGAUUUCUGUUAAUAAUUUAUAUAAAAUAUUUUGAUGAAUAUUUAUAUAAUAUUAACAUAAUUCAUAUUACUAUUUUUUUUUUUAGUAUAUGAAAUUUUACUUUGAGAAAAUUAGAGUGCUUAAAGCAGGCAUAUGCCUUGAAUACUCCAGCAUGGAAUAAUAUUAAAGAUUUUUAUCUUUUUUAUUGGUUCUAAGAUAAGAAUAAUGAUUAAUAGGGACAGUUGGGGGCAUUUGUAUUUAACAGUCAGAGGUGAAAUUCUUAGAUUUGUUAAAGACAAACUAAUGCGAAAGCAUUUGCCAAGGAUGUUUUCAUUAAUCAAGAACGAAAGUUAGGGGAUCGAAGACGAUCAGAUACCGUCGUAGUCUUAACCAUAAACUAUGCCAACUAGAGAUUGGAGGUUGUUCCUUACUCCUUCAGCACCUUA
rnacentral:rRNA from 1 species